AGAGUUUGAUCCUGGCUCAGAUUGAACGCUGGCGGCAUGCCUUACACAUGCAAGUCGAACGGUAGAGUAGCAAUACUUGAGAGUGGCGAACGGGUGAGUAAUAUAUCGGAACGUGCCCAGUCGUGGGGGAUAACGUAGAGAAAUUUACGCUAAUACCGCAUACGAUCUAAGGAUGAAAGCGGGGGAUCGCAAGACCUCGCGCGAUUGGAGUGGCUGAUAUCAGAUUAGGUUGUUGGUGAGGUAAAAGCUCACCAAGCCGACGAUCUGUAGCUGGUUUGAGAGAACGACCAGCCACACUGGGACUGAGACACGGCCCAGACUCCUACGGGAGGCAGCAGUGGGGAAUUUUGGACAAUGGGCGAAAGCCUGAUCCAGCAAUGCCGCGUGUGGGAAGAAGGCCUUCGGGUUGUAAACCACUUUUGUACGGAACGAAACGGUUCGCUUUAAUACAGUGGGCUAAUGACGGUACCGUAAGAAUAAGCACCGGCUAACUACGUGCCAGCAGCCGCAGUAAUACGUAGGGUGCGAGCGUUAAUCGGAAUUACUGGGCGUAAAGCGUGCGCAGGCGGUUAUAUAAGACAGUUGUGAAAUCCCCGGGCUCAACCUGGGAAUUGCAUCUGUGACUGUAUAGCUAGAGUACGGUAGAGGGGGAGGAAUCCGC
rnacentral:rRNA from 1 species